rnacentral:tRNA from 1 species
GGGUAUAUAUCUCAUGGGGUAGAGCCUGUGCUGCAAGCAGCGAUGUGUCCGCGUCUCGUCCGCUUACCUCUCC